rnacentral:rRNA from 1 species
UACGUAGGGUGCGAGCGUUGUCCGGAAUUAUUGGGCGUAAAGGGCUCGUAGGCGGUUUGUCGCGUCGGGAGUGAAAUCCACUGGCUUAACUGGUGGCUUGCUUUCGAUACGGGCAGACUGGAGGUAUGCAGGGGAGAACGGAAUUCCUGGUGUAGCGGUGAAAUGCGCAGAUAUCAGGAGGAACACCGGUGGCGAAGGCAGCUCGCUGGGACGGUACUGACGCUGAGACGCGAAAGCGUGGGGAGCGAACAGG